UAACAGAACAGAUGCAAGAACUCCUUAGAUCAUACCUUCAGUCAAAUGGAUCAGUGGAAUCUGUCCCUGCAGGGGACAGUUGGCAGAACUGAUAUGUACUGGUUGCUGGUAUUCUCUUUCCGUUUAGGUCAUGCCUGUUACAGCUGACACCUCAGGCUAGUUUUCAAAUCAUUUUGCUACUUCAUGCACUAAAAUUGAAACCAACUGUAAUCAGAGGGUGACUGUCACCUCCAAAAGAUUGUUUAUAUGAGAAGAUUUGUGAAGUGAGUUGAAAGUAUAUACCCAGUUGUUUUAUUUCGUGUAAGCCUGUGGCUACUCAGAGUAACAGAUUAAUGUUUUUGUUAUAUUCAUUUUAAGCAAAUAUUUAUAAAAGAAACUCCUUUUACAUGAGGAAUUCACUCUGAAUAUGAAUUUUUCUAUGUACACAGUAUUUUGCACAGAGUAAGCACUCAGUACAUUUCUGUUGUGGUUUUCAUAUGUAUACACACACGUACAAAUAUAUAUGUAUAUAUGUGUACACGCAUACACGUGUGUGCAUGUAUAUAUUGGUAGAUCUUCCUCCAUCCC
rnacentral:lncRNA from 1 species